rnacentral:lncRNA from 1 species
GAUUUUGGGGCCAUUUUCAUCCCAAUUUUGGGGCCAUUUUCAUCCCAAUUUUGGGGCCAUUUUCAUCCCAAUUUUGGGGCCAUUUUCAAUGGGAUUUUGGGUCCAAUCUCAGCGAUUUUGGGGCCAUUUUCAGUGGGAUUUUGGGGCCAUUUUCAAUGGGAUUUUGGGGCCAAUCUCAGCGAUUUGGGGGCCACUUUCAACCCAAAUUUGGUGCCAUUUUCAAUGGGAUUUUGGGGCCAUUUUCAAUGGGAUUUUGGGUCCAUUCUGAGUAGAUUUUGGGCCAUUUUCACCAUGAUUUUGGGGCCAUUUUCAGUGGGAUUUUGGGUCCAAUCUCAGCGAUUUCAGGGCCAUUUUCAACCCGAUUUUGGUGCUAUUUUCAAUGGGAUUUUGGCCAUUUUUGCCACAAUUUGGGGCCAAUUGUGAGCGGACCGGUGCCCCUCACCGCAGGGCGCGGCUCAGCUUGUCGUAGUUCAUGUGGGGCUUGCACUUGCGCGCGCCCCACAGCCGCGCCACCUCGUCGGGGUCCUUGAUGACGAACUCGCCGUAGUCGCCCUGCCAGGCGAUGACGUGCCGGUAGCGCUCCUGGCGCAGCAGCUCCAGGAUGAAGUGCCACAGCUGGAUCUGCCGCGAGCCGGGGCUCGACUCCGCCUUGUACGCCCACUCCGGGAACGCCAGCCCUAUGGGGAGGGCAGAUGUGGGGCUG